ACUCAAAGGAAUUGACGGGGGCCCGCACAAGCGGCGGAGCAUGUUGCUUAAUUCGACGCAACGCGAAGAACCUUACCAAGGCUUGACAUGCAGGGAAAAGCCGUGGAGACACGGUGUCCGUAAGGGUCCUGCACAGGUGGUGCAUGGCUGUCGUCAGCUCGUGUCGUGAGAUGUUGGGUUAAGUCCCGCAACGAGCGCAACCCUUAUCCUAUGUUGCCAGCGGAUAAUGCCGGGGACUCAUGGGAGACUGCCGGGGUCAACUCGGAGGAAGGUGGGGAUGAGGUCAAGUCAUCAUGCCCCUUAUGUCUUGGGCUGCAAACAUGCUACAAUGGCCGGUACAGAGGGCUGCGAGACCGUAAGGUGGAGCGAAUCUCAAAAAGCCGGUCUCAGUUCGGAUUGGGGUCUGCAACUCGACCCCAUGAAGUCGGAGUCGCUAGUAAUCGCGAAUCAGCAACGUCGCGGUGAAUACGUUCCCGGGCCUUGCACACACCGCCCGU
rnacentral:rRNA from 1 species